ensembl:lncRNA
CAAAUUUGAACAUCACUGAUGUUCAUCGGAUUUACAGAGUGACGACAAACCCCGUCAGCAUGUUAGAUAAAGGAUUUAAGUUAUAUGCUGCAUCAUAUAUACACAACUACGAAGAUUAAGCUUCUGGAUUCAUCGCCAGUGCUCCUGUGUGGCAGGUGCUGUUAUGUGCAAUCACACAGUGGCACUGCUCUUCCAAACAGCACACUACUCACAACUCAGAGUGCCGGUUGUCCCCUGUGCAUAGCUGCACCGAAUCUGAACAGCAAUGGCACAAGCCACGGACAGUGGGUGUGAAGCCAGGACCUAUCAACUCUAUGAUCUUCACUAAGCCGGUACCAAAUAGGAUGGCCCAGACUGGAGUACGGAGUGGAUUCUACAGAGGCAUUGUGGGUCCAUUACCAGAUCCCUGACCUGACAAGCCCCUUGUGGAAAGUGCCUUUGGGCUGGUGCAGGAGGGCAGUGUUCUGUCAUGUCAGCAGCCGGUUUUGACAACCCGGUACAUCACACUACACCGUGAUGCACCACCAACACCGCACUUGCCUCUGAGAGGGUAUGACAUCAAGGAAACCCUGCUCGCUCAGACAGCCUGUGAUAUUUUCUCAAACCGCUGCGCUGAACAAGUUUCCAAAGAACAUGCUGUGUGACACAAUAAAUAUCCUUUAACCUGUUAACCUGUGGCUUCUGGAAGAAACUCGGGUGAGUCAGUCACUGCAAACACAUUUGUAUCAUCAAGUGUUUGUCAAAUGAAAAUGAUAUGUUUUUCUACACUUAGGAUAAUUUUCUAUGUUGCAGUGCAGUAAAGUGCAUGUUUCUU